GAUGAACGCUGGCGGCGUGCUUAAUACAUGCAAGUCGAACGGAGACUGUAGCAAUACUGUCUUAGUGGCGAACGGGUGAGUAACGCGUUGGUGACCUGCCCCGAAGAGGGGGAUAACAGUCCGAAAGGAUUGCUAAUACCCCAUGUGGUCAUUUUGGAUUAGAUGCCUUAUGACUAAACGGAUUUAUUCGCUUCGGGAGGGGCCUGCGUCCCAUCAGCUAGUUGGUAGGGUAAUGGCCUACCAAGGCGAUGACGGGUAGGGGACCUGAGAGGGUGGCCCCCCACAAUGGAACUGAAACACGGUCCAUACACCUACGGGUGGCAG
rnacentral:rRNA from 1 species